CUGAAUUCCUGUCUGUAAUUUCUUAAUCCUUAAGUCGAUGACAUUAUCUGAGAUGAGAACCUCUGGAUCUUCACUCAAAACAGAAGCCAGUUCUAAAUCUACAUGCAGUUUGGGUAACCAUUCAUGGGUGUGCUUGAGCCAUUGAAGCAUUCCUGGCUAUUGGCCCUUGGGAUGACUGCAUUAAUGUGAUAAACAUUUUCAAUGGUGAUGAUGAAAUCAGUGCAGACAAGGCUGCUUUUAUUUAAAGAGGAAUGAAACGCAUGCUUAAAAAAAAAUGAGUGGAUUGGCAAGUGGAAUCAGAAGUUUUAAAAGAUCUGGCUGUUGCUUGACUGAUUUAAAGGUAUAGAUGUCUCGAAUUACUUCUAACCUUCUCAAAAAAAAUAUGAAAUUACUGUAAGACUAAGCUUGAUAGCUUUCCUUAAUCAGGAUCAAGAUACAUAAACCUUUUGCACUGUUCCGUGUCACAAGAAAAUUCUUUGUGUGACCCCUGCUUAAUGAGUAGCAUUGUACGAAACUGUUUUACAUUUUAAUGAACCAAUGUGGAUGGCUGGAUCUCUGUAUAAUACAUGAUAUAUGAAAUCAUUUUGAAGUGUAUUCAAAGGAUUUAGUUU